GACGAACGCUGGCGGCGUGCUUAACACAUGCAAGUCGAACGGAAAGGCCCUGCUUUUGUGGGGUGCUCGAGUGGCGAACGGGUGAGUAACACGUGAGUAACCUGCCCUUGACUUUGGGAUAACUUCAGGAAACUGGGGCUAAUACCGGAUAGGAGCUCCUGCUGCAUGGUGGGGGUUGGAAAGUUUCGGCGGUUGGGGAUGGACUCGCGGCUUAUCAGCUUGUUGGUGGGGUAGUGGCUUACCAAUGCUUUGACGGGUAGCCGGCCUGAGAGGGUGACCGGCCACAUUGGGACUGAGAUACGGCCCAGACUCCUACGGGAGGCAGCAGUGGGGAAUAUUGCACAAUGGGCGGAAGCCUGAUGCAGCAACGCCGCGUGCGGGAUGACGGCCUUCGGGUUGUAAACCGCUUUCGCCUGUGACGAAGCGUGAGUGACGGUAAUGGGUAAAGAAGCACCGGCUAACUACGU
rnacentral:rRNA from 1 species